rnacentral:rRNA from 1 species
AUUGAACGCUGGCGGCAGGCCUAACACAUGCAAGUCGAACGAGUGGCGGACGGGUGUGUAAUGUCUGGGAAACUGCCUGAUGGAGGGGGAUAACUACUGGAAACGGUAGCUAAUACCGCAUACCAUCGGAUGUUCCCAGAUGGGAUUAGCUAGUAGGUGGGGUAAAGGCUCACCGAGGCGACGAUCCCUAGCUGGUCUGAGAGGGUAACCGGCAACACUGGAACUGAGACACGGUCCAGACUCCUACGGGAGGCAGCAGGGGGGAAUAUUGCACAAUGGGCGAAAGCCUGAUGCAGCCAGGCCGCGUGUAUGAAGAAGGCCUUCGGGUUGUAAAGUACUUUCAGCGGGGAGGCGUUACCCGCAGAAGAAGCCCCGGCUAACUCCGUGCAAGCAGCCGCGGUAAUAC